rnacentral:RNase_P_RNA from 1 species
ACGGUAAGCCAAGCGACAGCUCUAAUUUUAAAAAUUAGAGAGGAAAGUCGGGACACCUGCUUUUUAAAAAGCAACGUAGCGGUGAAAAACCGCCUGGCGAAAGCCAAGAGGUGCGAACAGAGACGUUAAGAUUCGAAAGAAUCUUAACAUCCUGAUUUUAGGGAUGAGUCCUUAAGGUAACUUAAGGAGUGAAACGGCUAAAUCCUUACGGGGUGCAAGGUCGUGCCCCGCCCCACUUUUUGAUUCCAACUGCUCAAAAAUUUAAAGUUUUUUUAUAUUUCAAAAUCUUAAAAAUGAAAAUAUUUUUGGUCGCAAAAAGUGGGGCGGGGAGUGCCGCUUGAGCCUGCGAGCAAUCAAAGGCCCAGACAAAUUGUCGCUUAAUCCCCUUUUGGGGAGGAUACAGAAUCCCGCUUAUGGCUUACCAAAAAU